CCUGUGUUUGGCUGGCAGAUAGAGCAUAGGCCAUCUCUUAAAGAAGGCUAAGCUUGAAGGCCUUUGUUUCACAUGGAUAUGGGAAGGCCUUGCUGCUUAUACCUUGAUGUUCUCAUCUAUGGUCAUGCCAACACAUGCUAUCCAAACUAGAAUGUGAUUGGGCUUCUUAGUCACUGGCCCAGACAGAUGUGACACCCUGUCCACAAUCUUGGUCAUCAGGACAUGUGGCUCAGAGGGAAGGUUUUCCUUAGUGUUAGUUGGGUCUAGUGGAAUUCUGUCACCUGUUUAUUUUCUUUCCUUUCAAGGUUGCCAAAAGCAGUGGCAGCAGGAAAGCAACAGCAGGGGAAAUGCCCAGUCCUAACCCAUUCCAGGACUGAGCUAUAGGGAACAGGCAUGGUACAUUAAUAUUUUCCAUUCUCCAGCCAGGAGAUCUCUAUUCUCUGAGCUGUAGCCAGGAGCCCAGAGAGAGAUCCUGGGCAUAUUCAAACUAAGUGGCAUGGAGAAAGUAGCAAUUUUAUUCUACUGUAAAUUGAGGAGUAAAAAGGGUUAUGGUUACAGGUGCUACAGGAUGUUGUCCUGACAUACAGUUGGUCUGCCUUUUAGUGCCAAGUAUAUUCCUGCCUUUACUCUGCUAGUUUGAAGGGGUCAUGCUUGUAGGAUCACUAGAGUCUGCUACCAGUCCUGCCUGGAGGUUAUUCUUGGCUCUGCGGUGGUCAUGGCCAGCCUGGGCCCCUGCCAGACAGCUUAUGCCUCUUGGCUUUAGGGCUUCCUUGCACCACUCUUACUGAAGCCAUGAAACCUGCAAUGAUUGAGGUUGUGCUUCAGACUACGAGGCCUAGGCACAAUUCUGGACUCACUCCCCAGUGAGGUGCCCUCUUCCCAGGGAGUUUGAUCCUGUGCCUCCCAUGUUAGUAAUAGGAAUGCUGAAACUCCCAGAUCUGGCCACUCAAACAAGGCCAGGGUGACAUCCCAUAGGGAGCACCAGGGCCAAAAAGGCCAGUGUCUGCGCUAUAGGCCCAGUCACUUGGACUGAAGGUGGGAAGAGGCAAUGUGCUCAUGGCUUUGGCUGUUCUCAAAGGAAGAAAAGCACUUGGGAGUGGGCCAGUACCUGGGAGCAAAGGAACUGCUCCAUCUCUGGGAUCCAAAGGGGCCUUUACUCAAAGCACAGAGCCUACCAUUGUUGCAGAAGGCUUGUCUCAGGAGAGGAAGCCACAGAGCAGACCUGGAGAGAUUAUGUGGCCAUAGCUACUGCCUCAGCUUACCCUCUGUCCCUGCAGCUCCACUGUGUCAUCCAUAUGCCCCUUUCUUUAAAUCUAAGCAUAAGGAAAAGGAGUGUUUGGUGAAAUAGGCCUAGGGCAAGUAGUCUUCAGAGGAGCAUAAACAUAAUCUUAACCUCCAUUGGUAGUGGGUGGAGCAGGUGGUGCUUGUAAAAAGCACUGAGCUCAAUUUGGGGCAGCCAGGAAGAAAUGACUGGAAGGAACAUUUUCUCAAACCCUUAGAGUCAGACACUAAUUUUUGUACUUGGCAGAAUUUCAGAUAGUCACAGUGAUGGAAAGGCUUGAGGAAAAGGAAAGGGAAUCAGUUUCACUAGGUUUAUGAAAGUUUGAACACCUUCAUAUAUAUUGCAGAGGAGCUCCAUGGAUUGGGACACUGGAAAGGGUCAUCCCAGACAGGGGGGUUGGGAUGGGCCUUCUGCAACUCUGGUCUGGGGGAACAAAGGAACCUCUUCAUUAGUAAAAAGCUACAUGCCUAAUGGAGAGGAGGCUAGUUAUUCCUCCAUGUUUUGCUUCUUAGGACUCUUGUGGACUGGGAACUCUAUGCUGGGGUCCUCUGGGCCCUCUAUAGCAUGCACCUACCAAGAAAACUUGCUGUCUUGGAACAGGAAGAGAGAUAGUCCCGAAUGGGCCUGAUCCUACUGUGGAAGAAAUUCAGGGCCUGCUUUGCUAGGCCCUGGGAUGUACCUGGCCUGAUCCGACCAUGGUCUUUCACCACUCACCCACAGAAAGCUAGAAGCUGCAGUUCCACAGAGGUAGGCAUCACCUUGUCUGUGAAGGAUCAGGGAAGAAGAAGAUAUAUUUCCAGUCUCUAUGACUGAUGCUGAGGCAGGAGAAAAAAGCGGUUCAGCUCUCAAAGCCCAGAGCUUGUCUCUACUCAAAAUUCCCUGUCUGUAAUCCAGCAGCCCAAGGCCAUUGGCAUACAAGGUGAUUUACCAGGAGAAUAAGCAAGAGUCCCUGUGCUGAAUGUGUUUUAAUCUUCUCAGUGUAAAACCCCAGGUCUGGCUGCUUCAGAGGCAGUCCUUGGACCCAAGAGUCCUGUGCUUUUGCUUUUUAUUUUUUCUGGCUAAACUAAAUAAUGGCCCCUCCUAACUGAUCAAUCUUGGGAGUAUGCCUAAGAAGUAUUUACAAAAAGUUGUGGGUUUUAAAAUGUUCAGAGCCAUAUACAUGAAUCCAAAUUGAUCUUCUGUCUCCUUCAUUUCAGUACUGAAUAAUCCAACCCUUGAAGUUUCUCACCCUGAUUCUGGAUCAGGCAGUUUCUACAGAAGGAGAGCAUAUAGUACUCUUACCAUGACCCUGGUUGCAGCUCCCCACUUUCCUCUGAGCAUCUCCACACUGAGCUGUACGCUCCUUCUUCUGUAAGCACCCAAUUUAGUACAAGUGCCUUGAACAAUGGAGAUAUGUUAGCUUCUACAUGAUCAAGCCAACCCCCUCUCUAGUAUUAAAAUUUGGCUAAACCUAAGUUGUCAGGCUGGAAACAGAACCUGGACUCCGGGGCCAGGGCUGACCCACAACAUGCAGUGACUUGAGAACUUAAUGAGAACUUAGUAAGGACAGCUGGGGCUCAGACAUGUAGGGAGAAGCAGCAACUCAGGCCCUAUCUCAGUGAUGGGGAGAAGAAUGAAUCUUCUUCUGUGAGGCCUUGCUCAGACUUUCUCUGAUCAAGAGCUGAGAUGCAAAUCUUCUUCUUAGCUCCAGCUUCUUACCCUCAUUGUUAGGGUGGUUGAAAGGAGUCUUCACUGAGGGCUUCUGUGGAACUGCUCUUUCUUGGGCUGUGGGAGAGGCUGGCUCUUGUUCUUUAUGCAAUGGCACACUUUUUUUUUUUUUUCCAGGUCUACAGGUGAGUUGAGGUGGAAAGAUGGAAAAGCACAAGGCUUCUCUUUUCUUUUUCCAUC